GACAGCAGUAGCCACGGGAAUACGAAGGGUGCAAGCGUUAAUCGGAAUUACUGGGCGUAAAGCGUGCGUAGGCGGUUUGUUAAGUCUGUUGUGAAAUCCCCGGGCUCAACCUGGGAAUGGCAAUGGAUACUGGCAAGCUAGAGUGUGUCAGAGGAUGGUGGAAUUCCCGGUGUAGCGGUGAAAUGCGUAGAGAUCGGGAGGAACAUCAGUGGCGAAGGCGGCCAUCUGGGACAACACUGACGCUGAGGCACGAAAGCGUGGGGAGCAAACAGGAUUAGAUACCCGAGUAGUCCCUGUCUCUUAUAC
rnacentral:rRNA from 1 species